AUGGGGGUGCGCGUGCGGGGCGGGAAUCGGGGGCGCGUGCAGGCGAGGCUGGGGCGCGUGCAGGAGGGGCGGGGGCGCGCUCGGGGGGGGGUGGGAGUCGGGGGCGCGUGCUCGCUCGAGACGGGGGCGCGCGCAAGAGGGGCGGGGGCGCGCGGGGAGUCGGAGGCGCGCGUGGAGAGUCGGGGACGCGCGCGAGGUGGGAAUCAGGGGCGUGCGCAGUGGAGCGGGGGCGCGCUCGGGGCGGGAGUUGGGGCGCGCUCUGGGGAGUCGGGGACGCGCUCUGGAGAGUCGGGGACGCGUGGGGGCGGGGGCGUGCUCGGGGCGGGAGUCGGGGUUGUGCGCGGGGCGGGGGCGCGCGCGGGGCGGGAGUCGGGGGCUCCGGCAGGCGAGGCUGGGGCGCGGGCGCACUCGGCAGGGGGGGGGGGAGUCGGGGGCGCGCGCGCGAGACGGGGGCGCGCGCAGGAGGGGCUGGGGAACACAGGAGAGUCGGGGGCGCGCGCGCGGGGCUGGAGUCGGGGCGCGCGCGGGACUCAGGGCGCGAGCAGGGGCGGGGGCGCGCUGGGGAGUCGGGGGCGCGCUCAGGGCGGGGAGCGUGGGCACGCGCGGGGGGGCGGGCCGUGGGCGCGCUCAGGGCGUGGGCGCGCUCGGGAGGGUCGGGGACGCUCGGGGAGCGGGGGCGCGAGCGCGGGGCAGGAGUCGGGGGCGCGCUGGGGCGUGGGCGCGCUCUGGGAGUCGGGGGCGCGCGCAGGGCGGGGGCGCGCUCUGGAGAGUCGGGGACGCGUGGGGGCGUGGGCGCGCUCGGGGCGGGAGUUGGGGGCGCGCGCAGGGCGGGGAUGCGCUCGGGGCGGGAGUCGGGGGCGCGCUCGGGGCGGGAGUCGGGGGCGCGCGCAGGGCGGGGGCGCGCGCGGGCGGGGCGCGCGCCGGGCGGGAGUCGGGGGCGCGCGUGGAGAGUCCGGGACGCGCGCGAGGUGGGAAUCAGGGGCGUGCGCAGUGGAGCGGGGGCGCGCUCGGGGCGGGAGUUGGGGGCGCGCUCUGGGGAGUCGGGGACGCGUGGGGGCGGGGGCUUGCUCGGGGCGGGAGUCGGGGUUGCGCGCGGGGCGGGGGCGCGCGGGGGCGGGAGUCGGGGGCGCGGGCAGGCGAGGCUGGGGCGCGGGCGCACUCGGCAGGGGGGUGGGAGUCGGGGGCGCGCGCGCGAGACGGGGGCGCGUGCAGGAGGGGCUGGGGAGCACGGGAGAGCCGGGGGCGCGCGCGCGGGGCUGGAGUCGGGGCGCGCGCGGGACUCAGGGCGCGAGCAGGGGCGGGGGCGCGCUGGGGAGUCGGGGGCGCGCUCAGGGCGGGGAGCGUGGGCGCGCGCGGGGGGGCGGGCCGUGGGCGUGCGCAGGGCGGGGGCGCGCUCUGGAGAGUCGGGACGCGUGGGGCGUGGGCGCGCUCGGGGCGGGAGUCGGGGGCGCGCGCAGGGCGGGGAUGCGCUCGGGGCGGGGAGUCGGGGGCGCGCUCGGGGCGGGAGUCCGGGGCGCGCGGGGGGGGGCGUGGGCGCGCUCGGGGCGGGAGUCGGGGGCGCGCGCGGGGCGGGGGCGCGCGCGGGCGUGGGCGCGCUCGGGCGGGAGUCGGGCGCGCGCGCAGGGCGGGGGCGCGCUCGGGAGGGUCGGGGACGCGCGGGGAGCGGGGGCGCGGGAGUCGGGGGCGCGCGGGGGCGUGGGCACGCUCGGGGCGGGAGUCGGGGGUGCGCGCAGGGCGGGGGCGCGCGCGGGGCGGGAGUCGGGGGCGCGCGCGGGGCGGGAGUCGGGGGCGCGCGGGGGCGUGGGCACGCUCGGGGCGGGAGUCGGGGGUGCGCGCAGGGCGGGGGCGCGCUCGGGGCGGGAGUCGGGGGUGCGCGCAGGGCGGGGCCGCGCGAAGGGCGGGAGUCGGGGGCGCGCGGGGGCGCGGGCGCGCGCGGGGCGGGAGGCGGGGGCGCGCGCGGGGCGGGAGUCGGGGGCGCGCGCGCGCGGGGCGGGGCGUGGGCGCGGCGCGGGGCGGGCCGGCGCGGGCGCGUUUCCGCCGUCGGGCCCGGGGCUCCGAGUCCGGCCGGCGGCGCGGAAGCGGCGGCGGCGGCGGCGGCGGCGGCGGCGGCGGCGGGGCAGCCAUGUCGCCUUUGUCCGCGGCGCGGGCGGCCCUGCGGGUGUACGCGGUGGGCGCGGCGCUGGUCGUGGCGCAGCUGCUGCGUCGCUGCGUGCGGGGCUUCGUGGAGCCAGGUCGUCCCGAAUGAGCGGAGGCCCAGCCGGGGGCGGCGCGAUGGAGUGCAAGAGCCUGGAGGGCGGGCAGAGCGACCUCAAGCUGGUGGCGCACCCGCGCGCCAAGAGCAAAGUGUGGCGCUACUUCGGCUUCGACACGAACGCGGAGGGCUGUAUCCUGCAGUGGAAAAAGAUUUACUGUCGCAUAUGCAUGGCCCAGAUCGCCUACUCGGGCAACACCUCCAACCUGUCCUACCACCUGGAGAAGAACCACCCCGACGAGUUCUGCGAGUUCGUAAAGAGCAACACGGAACAGAUGCGCGAGGCCUUCGCCAGCGCCUUCUCCAAGCUGAAGCCGGACCCCGCGCAGCCCGGCGGCGCCCAGGAGCCGCUGGCCGCCAAGGCCGGCGCGCACGGCCACGAGAGCCGCAAGCAGCAGGAGCUCACCGCCGCCGUCAUGGGCCUCAUCUGCGAGGGCCUCUACCCGGCCUCCAUCGUCGACGAGCCCACGUUCAGGGCGCUGCUGAAGGCCGCCGAGCCGCGCUACGAGCUGCCGGGCCGAAAGUUCUUCUCCGGCAAGGCCAUCCCCGAGCGCUAUGGCGCCGUGCGGGAGGCGGUGCUCAAGGAGCUGGCGGACGCCGCCUGGUGCGGCGUCUCCACCGACCUGUGGCGCAGCCAGACCCAGAACCGCACUUACGUGACGCUGUCGGCACACUUCCUGGGCCGCGCGGCCCCCCACGGGCUGGCGGUGGGCUCCCGCUGCCUCAAGACCUUCGAGGUGCCCGAGGAGAACGCGGCCGAGACCAUCACGCGCGUCCUCUACGAAGCGUUCAUCGAGUGGGGCGUCCACGCCAAGGUCUUCGGCGCCACCACGGACCGCGGCAAGGACCUGGCGCAGGCCUGCUCGCUGCUCGACAUCCCGGUGCACAUGCCGUGCCUCGGCCACACCUUCGACGCGGCCAUCCGCCAGGCCUUCCGGCUGCCCAAGCUGGGCGCGCUGCUGGGCCGCUGCGCCAAGCUGGUGGCCUACUUCCAGCAGUCGUCCGUGGCCAUGGCGAUGCUCCACGAGAAGCAGAGGCAGCAGAACGCGGCGCCCUGCACGCUGGUGAGCAACCGCGUGGCCUGGUGGGGCAGCACGCUCGCCAUGCUGCAGCGCCUCAAGGAGCAGCAGUUUGCCAUCGCCGGGGUCCUGCUGGAGGACACCAACAACCACCACCUGAUGCUGGAGGCCGCCGAGUGGGCCACCAUCGAGGGCCUGGUGGAGCUGCUGCAGCCCUUCCGGCAGGUGGCCGAGGUGCUGUCGGCCUCCAAGCACCCCACCAUCAGCAUGGUCAAGCCGCUGCUGCACAUGCUUCUGAACACGACGCUCAACCCCAAGGAGACGGACCCCAAGGAGAUCAGCAUGGCGAAGGAGGUGAUCGCCAAGGAGCUCGCCAAGACCUACCAGGACAGCCCCGAGAUCGACCUCUUCCUCAACGUGGCCACCUUCCUGGACCCGCGCUACAAGAGGCUGCCGUUCCUCUCCACUUUCGAGCGGCAGCAGGUGGAGAACCGUGUGCUGGAGGAGGCCAAGGGCCUCCUGGAGAAAGCCAAAGACGGCGCCUACCGCGCGUCUGAGGACAAGGCGGCCACGCCGCCCGAGGAGCCGCCGCCGGCCAAGAAGCCGGCGCCCUCGCCCACCCCGCCGCCCGCCAGCGUCAUCAACGACAUGCUGGCCGAGAUCUUCUGCCCCACCGGGGGCGUGGAGGACCAGGAGGAGCGGCACGCCCAGGUGGUGGAGGAGCUGAGCAACUUCAAGUCGCAGAAGCCCCUGGGGCUCAACGAGGACCCGCUCAAGUGGUGGUCGGACCGCCUGGCGCUGUUCCCCGUGCUGCCCAAGGUGCUGCAGAAGUACUGGGCCGUGGCGGCCACGCGCGUCGGCCCCGAGCGCCUCUUCGGCUCGCGCGCCACCGUGGUGAGCGCCAAGCGCAACCGCCUGGCCCCCGCGCACGUGGACGAGCAGGUGUUCCUGUACGAGAAUGCGCGCGGCGGCGCCGACGCCGAGCUGGAGGACGAAGACGAGGGCGAGUGGGGCCUGGACCACGAGCAGGCCUUCGCGCCCGGCGAGGCGGCCCACGCCGGCUUCUUCGGCGUCCGGGACGGCAGCUUCGUGUAGCCGGGGCGGGGGCUGGCGGGCGCCCGCAGGGGCGGGGGCGGUGCGCAGCCGCGCGCCCGGGGGCGGUACCCGUGUGGAUGCCCGGCUGUCGGGACUGACGCCCCCGCCACCCCAGCGCGGGUGGGCGCACUGCUGCUGGAAAGGCGGGAAUCCAGCCGAAGAGGGACAGGGAUUUUGGGGGUGUGUGUGUGUGUGUGUGUGUACGUGCCCCAGAGGGCAGACGUGGACUCUGGGUGGUCCAGAGAAGGGAGAUGGACUCUGGGUGGUCCCAGACAUGACAGACAGACUUUGGAUGCCCGAGGACAAAGACGGACUCUGGAUGGUCCACAGAGGACAGAGAUGGACUCUGGGUGGUCCCAGACAAGAGAGACAGACUGCGUGGUCCACAGACGAGAGAGACGGACUCUGGGUGGUCCACAGAGGAGAGAGAGACGAGGCUCUUGAGUAGUCCAAACCUGGAGAAAAGAAGUGAAGUGUUUCUUCUGCAGGGGGCGGCAGCGGUGUGUGUGGGGGGACCCCCUUGUAUCCCAGGAACAGGGAAAGAAAUGACUUGUAAAAACCGGCGGCGUCCGCCCAUCGGAUCACCAAUCUCAACGCCCCCGACGCUAGCAUGGCCGGCGGGGGCGUUCUGACUCCCCUCUGUUAAUUCCGUACCUGCAGUGUCCCAUGUUGUCACGCCAGGGAGGGUUUGGGGUGAAUCAGGGACACAUGUUAAUCAGGGGGCCGCUGAGGACGAAAGCCCCUUCCGUGUUCCCCAAAGCCCACCUGCCCCCGAGCACCACCUGCACGCUGCACCCGCGCCCCGGGCACCAUCCGCGGCUGUUAGCCCCGUCGGUCCGUAAAGCAGCACGCCUACCUUGUCAAUUACCAGGGAACCUGGAGACACGCUUUAGCCACCCGCCCUGUCUUCAAGGCGUGAUGAAACAUGUUACCCUCAGCCCGUGGUGCCAUCGCUUAUAAAAAAGCCGAAAAAGAGAUCCUGGGUGUGGUUUCUUUUCUG
rnacentral:lncRNA from 1 species